UACGUAGGUGGCGAGCGUUGUCCGGAUUUACUGGGCGUAAAGAGCGCGCAGGCGGCUGGUCAAGUCCGAUGUGAAAGCUCCCGGCUUAACUGGGAAAUUGCAUCGGAAACUGAUCGGCUGGAAGGUGGGAGAGGGUAGCGGAAUUCCCGGUGUAGUGGUGAAAUGCGUAGAUAUCGGGGAGGAACACCAGUGGCGAAAGCGGCUACCUGGCCCAUUCUUGACGCUGAGGCGCGAAAGCUAGGGGAGCAAACAGG
rnacentral:rRNA from 1 species